rnacentral:rRNA from 1 species
UACGUAGGGAGCAAGCGUUGUCCGGAAUUAUUGGGCGUAAAGAGCGUGUAGGCGGCCAGAUAAGUCCGCUGUGAAAUCUCGAGGCUCAACUUCGAGCUGUCGGUGGAAACUAUCUGGCUAGAGUCCGGAAGAGGAGAAUGGAAUUCCUGGUGUAGCGGUGAAAUGCGCAGAUAUCAGGAAGAACACCCGUGGCGAAGGCGGUUCUCUGGGACGGUACUGACGCUGAGACGCGAAAGCGUGGGGAGCGAACAGG